rnacentral:rRNA from 1 species
UACAGAGGGGGCAAGCGUUGUUCGGAAUUACUGGGCGUAAAGGGCGCGUAGGCGGCCUUCUAAGUCAUGCGUGAAAUCCCCGGGCUCAACCCGGGAACUGCGUCUGAUACUGGAAGGCUCGAAUCCGGGAGAGGGAUGUGGAAUUCCAGGUGUAGCGGUGAAAUGCGUAGAUAUCUGGAGGAAUACCGGUGGCGAAGGCGGCAUCCUGGACCGGCAUUGACGCUGAGUGAGCGAAAGCCAGGGGAGCAAACGGG